GCGGUGCAUCCGUUGAGGACGCGACCAAGCACACGGGCCUGCUGGUCUCGUC
rnacentral:ribozyme from 1 species